rnacentral:tRNA from 4 species
GCCGAAGUGGUGGAAGCUGGUAGACACGCUGUCUUGAGGGGGCAGUGGGUUACGCCCGUGCGGGUUCAAAUCCCGCCUUCGGCACCA